rnacentral:rRNA from 1 species
CGGGAAGCCCACCUCAAGAUAAGAUUUCCCCAAAGAGCCGUUCUAGACCAGGACGUUGAUAGGUUGGGUGUGGAAGUGCAGCGAUGCAUGGAGCUAACCAAUACUAAUUGCUCGUUUGACUUGACUAUACAACGCCUAAUGGGUUG